UGGACUGGGGUCUCCUCUAGGGUCUUUAGGAUGAGGUCCUGAUGUACCUAUUUCACACUUUUGGCCUCCAGAGCUAUGAAAGAGCAAAUCUCUGUUGCUUUACAUCAUCUGAUGUGUGGAAACAUGCUAUUACGGAGUAGGAAGCUGGUAACAGGGGAUCAAUACUGACAGAGAAAGCAACACAGGAGAAAACAGGGCUUAAAUGAGAUGCAAGAAUGAUGGGGCGAGAAUCUGUGUAUCUGCGUGGAGGAGUACACUAGCCACAGGUCAGUCACGACUGUAUCUGCGUGGAGGAGUACAGCUAGCCACAGGUCAGUCAUGGCUGUGUGUUUGUGUGGAGGAGUACAACCCGCCACAAGUCAGUCAUGACUGUGUAUCUGCGUGGAGGAGUACAGCUAGCCACAGGUAAGUUCUACCUACUCACCACGGUCCCGCCCACCUCAUACUCAGCUGACCUCACACACUUACCCUUUGCGGACUCCACGACCCAGGGUCCUACCCUCAUCAACAAAGAAGGACUAUAAUCUGAAACCAGUCUGCUAGCUCGGCAAGCAGUAGCAGGCCAUCGUGUUCUGACGUACUAGUCUGCCCAGCACCAGCACUUGUAUUCUUCACAUGCUACUAGACACUUGUUAGCUGAGAUGAAAUAUGAAACAUGAAAUCAAGCAAUGUACAGCCAACCAUCCAGUGGAGUAUAGCUCAUCUACAGCAGUGCACAGCUGCCACCCCUAUCUGUUCCAGGACAUUUACAUCGCCCCAAAGGAAAUCCUGAAACCACUAAGCAAAAAUUCCCCAUUCGUCUCUCCUCCCAGGCACGAGAUACCACCAGUCUGCAUUUGACGUACACACUGGGAAUAUUUC